UUAACAUUUCGACUUGCUCUCGCAGUACUUUGAUAACACCGUGCGGUUUGUGCAGCCGUGUCUAGUAAAACUUUGUGGCAAAGUACCAGCAACAUGAGAAGUGGUGGUACGCAAGAUAAGGUAAGCUUGACAGCUUAAAAUAGCCGAUUUGAGUGCCAGUACUGCGAGCACUGGUAUAGCUUACAUGGUGUGUUACUCCUUUACCACCGUUAACAACCUGAAGCAUCGCGGAGAUACGUGAGUGUUUGCAGCCCUGACUGAGGCGUGUUUCUGUUACUGUAUCACAGGAUCACACCUCACAAAACAGCGUGUUUCUGAUUUUAGACCUAUGGUGCUGGAGGUCCAUCUGCUCCUAUAGAGUGACCCGAGUUGAUCUAGAGCAGAACAUGUCUGAACUUUCCUGCUGGUUCAAGCUCGUGAUUGAUGAAAUAAUAAGAGGAUGGCAGAGUGCCGUGGGCUGUGGAUUAUUCUGAAAGAGCUCCUGUCUCAUCUUGGUGCUGGUCUGUCUGGAGGGGAGGAAGAAUCCACCAUAAUGCACUGCGAACUGAUGUUCAGGUCUGAAUCUAUUUUGACUGAUGCCCAAAGUCUGUUCACUGGAUGCAUGAUGUCUGUUACACACAAAACUGGCAAGAUUCGGCUAAAGUUGCUCAUUCCUGAACUUUAGAGGAAGAACGGAUGAUCACAUUUGAAAGGAUAUGGGAGUUAAAGCUCUGACAUGGCUUCACCGUGAGUGCAGAGGUCAUCAGAGAUCAAUAACCUCUUUGUGCUCUUCCAAUCUCUUCUCAUCCAGACAUCCCUUGCUCGCUGUGUAAAUACAUCUGUCCUAACCCUGCCUGCUAUCUCUCUCUCUCUCUCUCUCUCUCUCUCUCUCUCUCUCUCUCUCUCUCUCUCUCUC